GUUGCGAGCAGCUCGGCCUGUGGCAGAGAGAGAUGGCCCAGUGCCCAUGGGAGUCGAGCGUGCCCAUGUUUGGGCUUACUCCCAACUCUGUGUUCAGGAAUUAUUCCUGGCAGCGCUAAGAGCACCAUAUGGGAUGAUGGGGAUUGAACCCAGAUCAGCCGUGUGCAAGAAUGACCUGACAUCCUUCCUUCCAGAGCUGGAGGUGAGAGCUCCUUCUGCUGAAUCUGUGAGUUGAAAAUGCUUUGGCCCAUCAGGACGGGGCAAGUGAUGCCAUGUGACCUCUCAGGAGUGUUCCUAAAGUGCUGUUUCCAGUCUCAUUUGCUGCAGCCACGUCACCCACUAGG